rnacentral:ncRNA from 2 species
AUCUUAUUAAGAGAGGUGGAGGGAAUUGGCCCUAUGAAACCUCGGCAGCGGACUCUUUUCAAUUGAAGAGAACUGUGCCAAAUCCAACAAGCCGCAAGCUUGGAUGAUAAGAG